GCAAAUCAAGCAUUUUGGAGAAGUCUUUGUACAUCCUCAUCUAGGCAGAGACGGAGAUGGUUCAGACUGGGCCUUGAGGUGCUGACCCUUAAAACUUAGUUUGGUAUUGUGGAAGCUUCCAGAGUAAGUUCUGGAGAUUAGGAAGUUGAAGAUCAAGGUCCUGGAAGAUUUGGUGUCUGGUGACAGUUUGUUCGAGGACACAGCAAGAAGGUAGCUAUCCACAAGCCAGGAAGAGAUUUCUCACCUGGAACUGAAUCAGCAGGCAUCUAGAUCUUGAACUUCCCAGCCUCCCAAAUUGUGAGAAACAAAUAUCUGUUACUGAAGCCACG